CCUGCCCAAAACUGUGCAUGUGGCUCUCUAGAGUCUUGCAAAAUAUGGAAAAAUGAUUAAACUGGACUAUUUUCUUCUGUGGUGGCCCAGGCCCUGGUGAAUGGGCUUGCUUAAUAUUUUUUCUGACCUAUCCCAAUUAUCAAUAGCUAAUGUCCUUACUUGGAGAAACCAAUGAUUACGUUUAACGAUUUCAUGUAACAUUCUUGACAAAGACUGUGUGCUAACCUGUGCUCUUGCUUGUUUAAGAUCUUUUUAAAUAACUGUACAUAGCAUUGUUCUUCAACAGACAAAUUCUGCUCCAUAGCCCCAGUUUGAAAAUUUGCAGCAGUUACUUACUUUCAUUUUUGCCAGAGACCUUUGGAUUUCUCCUUGCAGGAUUCUCCUUUUUUGUUGUAUUUCUCAUUCCUUUGGAACUUCUUCCUUUCAAGUUCCUGUUUGGGCAUCAAUUUUAGGAGCCAGCCUGCAAACUUACCUCGGAGGUAUGAUGAAGAAUAAAAGAGGAAGAGAUAAAUUUCCAAGAAAAGGGGACUGGGGCCUCCCAAGAGGAUAAUCAAGAGGAUAUCUCAAGAGGACAAGAGCACUGGGAGUCUAGAAGUUCCACUUUUUAUUAGUAAAACAAGACAAUGUAGCAAUCCCACAACCCAGGCUUGAUAAAAUGCAAAUGAUUAACAAGAAACAUAACAACUUUACAUCUGGAAAUGUAAUUUUCUUUGUGUAGUUCUAGCCUGUUGUUGCCCUGCCCAGGAGGUAUUGUGUGUCACCAUUCCCGCCUACAAAGGAAGGGACAGUCUUAUACGCCCUAUGCCAUUCCUAGGAAAGGUCAACAAGGCCCCAGUCUCUGUCAUUGAUAACGCAUCCCAGUCUCCCUAUGAGUUUCACAGGUUCUAGCCCAGAACCCAUAAACAUGUUGAGAAAAAAUACAAUUUGCUGGAUCCUAAGAUCACUCUGUGGUGUGUGUGUGUGUGUGUGUGCGUGCACGCGCACACAUGUGUACACACUUGGAAGAGAAAGACAUCUUCGAAUGUGUGACAAACCAGAGAAAAUCGAGAUCAAUAAAGUACUUGAACUUACUCUUCUGAUAUUAAGCAAAUUCCAAGUUUCUCAUGGCAUUUCACAUACGCUUCUAUCAACACAUUUCCACCACUUCAAGUACUGUGGAUAUCAGUUCCAUGAAAGUGAGUUAUCAUGUCAUCAUUU
rnacentral:lncRNA from 1 species